AACGAACGCUGGCGGCAUGCCUAACACAUGCAAGUCGAACGAGACCUUCGGGUCUAGUGGCGCCCGGGUGCGUAACGCGUGGGAACCUGCCCUUAGGUUCGGAAUAACUCCCCGAAAGGGGUGCUACUACCGGAUAAUCUCUUCGGACCAAAGAUUUAUCGCCUUUGGAUGGGCCCGCGUUGGAUUAGCUAGUUGGUAGGGUAAAAGCCUACCAAGGCGACGAUCCAUAGCUGGUCUGAGAGGAUGAUCAGCCACACUGGGACUGAGACACGGCCCAGACUCCUACGGGAGGCAGCAGUGGGGAAUAUUGGACAAUGGGCGAAAGCCUGAUACAGCAAUGCCGCGUGAGUGAUGAAGGCCUUAGGGUUGUAAAGCUCUUUUACCCGGGAUGAUAAUGACAGUACCGGGAGAAUAAGCUCCGGCUAACUCCGUG
rnacentral:rRNA from 1 species